rnacentral:rRNA from 1 species
UACGAAGGGGGCUAGCGUUGUUCGGAAUUACUGGGCGUAAAGGGCGCGUAGGCGGCCGAACCAGUCGGGGGUGAAAGCCUGUGGCUUAACCACAGAAUUGCCUUCGAUACUGUUUGGCUUGAGACCGGAAGAGGUUAGUGGAACUGCGAGUGUAGGGGUGAAAUUCGUAGAUAUUCGCAAGAACACCAGUGGCGAAGGCGGCUGACUGGUCCGGAUCUGACGCUGAGGCGCGAAAGCGUGGGGAGCAAACAGG